AUUGAGUGUUCAGGGGUGGCAAGAUAGUUUAAUAGUAUGCAUUUUUUUUUUUUAAUUCUUCUAGGUGCCUUGUGUUUUUCUGGAAUUCCUGACUCUAUUGAAGAUGGAACCUUGUUUUCUUCCCUGGUUUUGUUGUAUACUGUGUGAGCUGCUGAUAUUCUCUCUCUUAACAGGACCGAUGGUGAGAUCGUCUAGCAGGGCUUAGGUUUCCCCGCAGCUGACGGGAGGUACAACAGAGUCACAAGAGACGCGGCGUAAACCAUCUGGGCCUCUGUGUCUCAAUAUGUGGGGCUCAAUGUCAGAUGAGUCUCAUCUCGUAAGGCAUUAGCAGUGAUCCAGGAUGUGUCGGCAUAUCUGCUGUCGAGUGGUCUGUUUUUGGGGAACCCUUUUCUGGGACUGCUUCUCGUUCAAAGAAGUUUCAUUUUUAUUAACUUCUCAUCAGAGUGGAUCUUCAGCGACGAUGUACUUGGCAGCAGAAGUCACCAGC